GUGAGGAAUAUUGCGCAAUGGCCGAAAGGCUGACGCAGCGACGCCGCGUGAAGGAUGAAGUCCGUUAGGAUGUAAACUUCUUUUGUAGGGGAUGAAUGUGGUGCCUCGCGCGCCAUUGACCGUACCCUGCGAAUAAGGAUCGGCUAACUACGUGCCAGCAGCCGCGGUAAUACGUAGGAUCCGAGCGUUGUCCGGAAUUACUGGGUGUAAAGGGCGUGUAGGUGGAUUCCUAAGUCGGUGGUGAAAUCCUGCAGCUUAACUGCAGAACUGCCUUCGAUACUGGGGAUCUUGAGUGCGGCAGAGGGAGAUGGAAUUCAUGGUGUAGCGGUGAAAUGUGUAGAUAUCAUGAAGAACACCGGUAGCGAAGGCGGUCUCCUGGUCCGCAACUGACACUGAGGCGCGAAAGCGUGGGGAGCAAACAGGAUUAGAUACCCUGGUAGUCC
rnacentral:rRNA from 1 species